ensembl:misc_RNA Metazoa_SRP Metazoan signal recognition particle RNA
GCCGGGCAUGGUGGCACAUGCCUGUAAUCCCAGCUAUUUGGGAGGCUGAGGCAGGAGAAUUGCUUGAACCUGGGAGGCGGAGGUUGUAGUGAGCCAAGAUCAUGCCACUGCACUCCCGCCUAGGCAACAGAGCAAGACUUUGUCUCAA